rnacentral:rRNA from 1 species
UCCGUAGGUGAACCUGCGGAGGGAUCAUUACUGAGUUUACGCUCUACAACCCUUUGUGAACAUACCUAUAACUGUUGCUUCGGCGGGUAGGGUCUCCGCGACCCUCCCGGCCUCCCGCCUCCGGGCGGGUCGGCGCCCGCCGGAGGAUAACCAAACUCUGAUUUAACGACGUUUCUUCUGAGUGGUACAAGCAAAUAAUCAAAACUUUUAACAACGGAUCUCUUGGUUCUGGCAUCGAUGAAGAACGCAGCGAAAUGCGAUAAGUAAUGUGAAUUGCAGAAUUCAGUGAAUCAUCGAAUCUUUGAACGCACAUUGCGCCCGCCAGCAUUCUGGCGGGCAUGCCUGUUCGAGCGUCAUUUCAACCCUCAAGCUCUGCUUGGUGUUGGGGCCCUACAGCCGAUGUAGGCCCUCAAAGGUAGUGGCGGACCCUCCCGGAGCCUCCUUUGCGUAGUAACUUUACGUCUCGCACUGGGAUCCGGAGGGACUCUUGCCGUAAAACCCCCCAAUUUUCCAAAGGUUGACCUCGGAUCAGGUAGGAAUACCCGCUGAACUUAAGCAUAUCAAUAAGCGGAGGA